rnacentral:rRNA from 1 species
UUUGAUCAUGGCUCAAAUUGAACGCUGGCGGCAGGCUUAACACAUGCAAGUCGAGCGGAGAGAGGUAGCUUGCUACUGAUCUUAGCGGCGGACGGGUGAGUAAUGCUUAGGAAUCUGCCUAUUAGUGGGGGACAACAUUUCGAAAGGAAUGCUAAUACCGCAUACGUCCUACGGGAGAAAGCAGGGGAUCUUCGGACCUUGCGCUAAUAGAUGAGCCUAAGUCGGAUUAGCUAGUUGGUGGGGUAAAGGCCUACCAAGGCGACGAUCUGUAGCGGGUCUGAGAGGAUGAUCCGCCACACUGGGACUGAGACACGGCCCAGACUCCUACGGGAGGCAGCAGUGGGGAAUAUUGGACAAUGGGCGCAAGCCUGAUCCAGCCAUGCCGCGUGUGUGAAGAAGGCCUUAUGGUUGUAAAGCACUUUAAGCGAGGAGGAGGCUACUUUAGUUAAUACCUAGAGAUAGUGGACGUUACUCGCAGAAUAAGCACCGGCUAACUCUGUGCCAGCAGCCGCGGUAAUACAGAGGGUGCAAGCGUUAAUCGGAUUUACUGGGCGUAAAGCGCGCGUAGGCGGCUAAUUAAGUCAAAUGUGAAAUCCCCGAGCUUAACUUGGGAAUUGCAUUCGAUACUGGUUAGCUAGAGUGUGGGAAAGGAUGGUAUAAUUCCAGGUGUAGCGGUGAAAUGCGUAAAGAUCUGGAGGAAUACCGAUGGCGAAGGCAGCCAUCUGGCCUAACACUGACGCUGAGGUGCGAAAGCAUGGGGAGCAAACAGGAUUAAAUACCCUGGUAGUCCAUGCCGUAAACGAUGUCUACUAGCCGUUGGGGCCUUUGAAGCUUUAGUGGCGCACCUAACGCGAUAAGUAGACCGCCUGGGGAGUACGGUCGCAAGACUAAAACUCAAAUGAAUUGACGGGGGCCCCCCCAAGCGGUGGAGCAUGGGGUUUUAUUCGAUGCACCGCAA